rnacentral:sRNA from 1 species
CUGAUAUCUUAACAAUCAGAAUAUGACUUAAUGCACAAAUUUUGUUCGGUAAACUUACACUAUGUUGAUGGAUUAAUUUAUAAAGUGUCAUUCAAUUCUAAAUAGUACCUCCAAGAAGGGUCAUGUCCUUUCCAUUCUUGGCUUGUGACACACUUUUCUGCCAGCCGAUACACCACAUACGACCAUUAAAAUCAAACAGGUAGUCGUGAGGAUAAACUGUCAGAGAAAGAGAAUCCUCAAAAUGAAACUUGACAACUGGAAAUCCACGAUCAACACUGCAAGAUUACAACAAUCAAUAAAAUAAAGGCCGCAUAUGCUAGACACUAUCGAUGCACUUGUUGCCUUCGUGAACUAAUGAAAUUGAAUUGUCAAACAGAGAAAUGCAUUUUAAUUACCCAAACAGCAUUUGAACAAUGAAUACCAAGUUACUAUUUAAAAAAAACACAUUUUUAAUAGACAAUUCUUUUGAAAUAUAGUUAUUUGUAAGGUAUCAACAAAAGGUUUAUAUACUUCUUUUGUACCUAAAUAGUCAAACAUGAGAUUCUUUAUACAUAAUUAUCCAACCUACUCAACAGCUCCCUUCAGAAACAAAGAAAAAGGACAAAUAAUAAAAAACCCAAAACAGAAAAUUCAAAGGACCGGUUAAGGUGAUUGUCAUACAUUUUUCUGUAACAAAAGUCCUAAUAGCACACAAUACAUUCACUUCAUUAAGAAGCUAAUAGGUAAUUUUAAAAUCAAAAGGCCAACAUAUGUCAAAGCACCAUCCUUGCUAAAGCGCACAAAUUUUAUUACACAACCUCUUAUCCUAAUUACUACUGCCUUGUUUCCUUUAUUUUAUCACAAUUGUUUUCCUCCUUCAGUUUUCAGAAUAUUGGAUUGCCGGACAUUCUCAAACAGUCAUGGAUGGAUAUUUACGAAGAUACAUUUAAAUAGAAAUAUGAAGUUGACACAUCAAACCCUAUGAACUAAACAACCAAGAAAAUAAACCUAAAGUAUCUCAAAUAAGUUAUGCAAUAUUGUAUGUCAGUUAAAAACAAUGAGGAAUAAACCAAUACUUGUUCCAGUAUAAAAGAUAAAUGUAAAUUUUAAAUAAAAGAAUGUCACAAAGAUAAGCGUCAUACUUUCCAGCAUACUGAAAACAACUAAAUUGUUGUUCAACAAGAUAUAAUUUCAGUCCAGGCUGCCGGGUCAAAACCUAUCAUAAAGAACAUUAAUGAAUACUCAAGUGGAAAUAUUGAUUCAGUUAAACCUUUAUAGAUACACUUACCUUUUGCAUCAGUUGGUCAUAAACUAACCCAGGAAGAUAAGCCAAGGUUGUUCCACUAUCUAUUAUUGUCCCCCUCCCAUUUCCAGACUCAAAUAUAUCCGAGGGAAGCUGUAGUGUAUCUGUAUCAACCUCAAUAGUCUUCAAAACUACGUUAUAGUGUGCCCUAUAAUGGUCAAAAGAUAACAGUUACGGCAUAACUUUUUUAACUCAAGAUCUGAAUGAACUGAAUACCAAAACAUUAUAUAUUGCAAGUACUUGAAAAACAUUUCACAACUCAAACCAGAGGCCUCAGAUGAAUAUACUUUCAGAAAACGUAAAGCCAUAAAAACAACAGAAACAGAAGGAAGGCCUUUAUUGUGUGGCCUUAUAAAACAUAAAUACUAGUAGUGAGAUGGAAUUUCCUACAUCCCAAUUAUUAUUAAAAAUUUGUUAAAACGAUCCCCGCAGGAUCCAAAAGGGGCAAUAAAAGACAAAAAGUUUGAAAAGGUGCUGCUCAAUACUCCUGCACUAAUGACAUUGACGUAAAGCAAUCAAAUUGAUAGAAAUAUACAAAUAAAAAUCUAUUAGAUAUCAUUGGUGUGAAUGCUGUAUUCCACUCUCGUAUCAAGCAUUUACAACAUUAGCUUUGAAAUUAUAUUUCCGUUACUUCAUUUUCUGAAUCUUUUAUAAAUAUAUUAUAUCAAAUGUUUAAAUGUCCAAAUGGAGAAAAAAAGAACCACGCAGAUUCAGCACUCUAGGGAAUUUUCUACCUUCAAAUAAUAUUAAGCACUGCUCCCUACUUCAAUUAUAGAACAACCCAACCAACUGAAAUAUCUUGUGAAAAUCGCAUGAAGUUAUUCAUAAGACAAUUCAUUAUUGGUAGCUCUGCGUGACCAUCAAAUUUACCCUUAGAGUUAUCUCAUAACCAAUAUAAUAGUACGAGAGUGAAAUACUAAGUUACCGUACAUACAUUCUUGGUACCAAUGGAGUUGUACUAACUUUUGGUUCCACCACUUCCCCGAUGGCAAAUAUUCCACCACCACGAAUAUUGUCAAGGCAAUGUGAAAAUAUUUUUUUCACCUUUCCAGAUGCAGCAAGCUGAGAAAGUACAGAAGAAUUUGCUUGUCCAAAACCCAUUAUUCCGUCAAGGGCUUGUUCAGAAGAUGAACCCAAUGUCCCAGAUUGUACAGCGCCACACCUGUCAGCAAAAGAUUAACCAUAGAAAUAUAAACAGGAGAAAAAGUUGAAAUGGCAUAAUUUUUAUUUAAUCUAUAUCAACCUAGGAACUUAUUAGCCUGAA